AUUUCUGGGCGUAAGCGUGCNUAGGCGGUUGCCUAAGUCAGAUGUGAAAGCCCCNGGCUUAACCUGGGAACUGCAUUUGAAACUGUGGUGGNUANAGUUUGGUANAGGAAGGUAGAAUUCCUAGUGUAGCGGUGAAAUGCGUAGAUAUUAGGAGGAAUACCAGUGGCGAAGGCGGCCUUCUGGACCAANACUGACGCUGAGGUACGAAAGCGUGGGGAGCAAACAGGAUUAGAUACCCUGGUAGUCCACGCCGUAAACGAUGUCAACUAGUCGUUGGAUCCUCCGGGAUUUAGUGACGCAGCUAACGCGUGAAGUUGACCGCCUGGGGAGUACGGCCGCAAGGUUAAAACUCAAAUGAAUUGACGGGGGCCCGCACAAGCGGUGGAGCAUGUGGUUUAAUUCGAUGCAACGCGAAGAACCUUACC
rnacentral:rRNA from 1 species